rnacentral:rRNA from 1 species
AAUGAACGCUGGUGGCGUGCCUAACACAUGCAAGUCGAACGAGAAAGUGGGCUUCGGCCCGCGAGUACAGUGGCAGACGGGUGAGUAACACGUGGGUAAUCUGCCCCGAAGUGGGGGAUAACUCUCCGAAAGGAGAGCUAAUACCGCAUGAUAUCUCGAGGUCCUCGGGCUUCGAGAUCAAAGCUAGCCUCUGUUUCAUGCUAGCGCUACGGGAGGAGCCUGCGUCCCAUUAGCUUGUUGGUGAGGUAAAGGCUCACCAAGGCACCGAUGGGUAGCCGGCCUGAGAGGGCGAUCGGCCACACUGGAACUGAGACACGGUCAGACUCCUACGGGAGGCAGCAGUGAGGAAUCUUGCGCAAUGGGGGAAACCCUGACGCAGCGACGCCGCGUGGAGGACGAAGGCCUUCGGGUCGUAGACUCCUGUCAAGUGGGACGAACCCCGGGCGAAUGAAUAAGUCGCCCGGCUGACGGUACCGCUGAAGGAAGCCCCGGCUAACUCCGUGCCAGCAGCCGCGGUAAUACGGAGGGGGCCAGCCUUGUUCGGAAUUAUUGGGCGUAAAGGGCGCGUAGGCGGCUAGGCAAGUCAAAGGUGAAAUCCCUCGGCUCAACCGAGGAACUUGCCUCUGAUACUG